GAUGAACGCUGGCGGCGUGCCUAACACAUGCAAGUCGAACGGAAAGGCCCAAGUUUGCUUGGGUCCUCGAGUUGCCAACGGGUGAGUAACACGUGGGUGAUCUGCCCUGCACUUCGUGAUAAGCCUGGGAAACUGGGUCUAAUACCGGAUAGGACGAUGGAUUGCUUGCUAUUGCGGAAAGUUUUUUCGGUGUGGGAUGAGAUCGCGGCAUAUCAUCGUGUCGGUGGGGUAGUGGCCUACCAAGACGUCCACGGGUAGCCAGCAUGUGAGGGGGUAAGGCCGCAUUAGGAUGGUGUUACGGCCCAGACUCCAACUGGAGGCAGCAGUGAGGAAUAUUGCACAAUGGGCGCAGGCAUGAGGUAUAGCCGCGGCGUGGGGGGUGAAGGCGUUCGGGGUGUAGACUCCUAUCGCUUAGGACGGAGCGUUUUUGUGACGGUACCUGGAGAAGAAGCACCGGCUAACUACGUG
rnacentral:rRNA from 1 species